CAGCAGGCCGCGGUAAUACGGAGGGGGCUAGCGUUGUUCGGAAUUACUGGGCGUAAAGCGCACGUAGGCGGCUUGGUAAGUUAGAGGUGAAAGCCCGGGGCUCAACCGGGGAGGGUCAUUGGAAACUGGGAAACUUGAGUGCUGAAGAGGAGAGUGGAAUUCCACGUGUAGCGGUGAAAUGCGUAGAGAUGUGGAGGAACACCAGUGGCGAAGGCGACUCUCUGGUCUGUAACUGACGCUGAGGAGCGAAAGCGUGGGGAGCGAACAGGAUUAGAUACCCGCGUAGUCCCUGUCUCUUAUA
rnacentral:rRNA from 1 species